UUCCCCCCAGGUGGCAGCCAUUGCCGUUGGCUGGUGUCUUCAUAUACCCCCCAAAAAUGUGCUACAACUUUUAUUUGAAAAUGGAAGGAAGAAGAGAAGCAGGAAGGCAGGAGAUGGAAGAAGGAGCCAUGAGGUACCUGAGAGCUUUUCCCUGAAGAUUUCUAGGAACCUGUAUGUCUUCAAUCAAAAUCUAAAUACUGUUACUCACCCAGGUGUUAAACUUUGAGGAUAAAUGUCAUCGUGUUUCUCCUUACAAAGAGCUUCAGAGACGCUACUUCAUGGUCAUAACUGGCGCAGAGCGUUAGCACCUUAAGUGGCUCAAUUUGAUCCCUGCUCUUGGGAACAAGGUAAUUAAGUGAGCUGCGACUUAAGCAAAGGCCCUGCCUCGACUUGUCGCCCGUCUUCAGACAGCGCUCCAUCCUAAAUCAUUUGAUAAUGUAAGAGGCUCGGUGCAGUUCUCUACUUGACUGAGGCUUCUCAGUUUGGUGUCAGGAUGACUUUGACAGGUUGUUAGCAACUAUAUGAAGUACAGAACAUCACAGAAAACGUCUCAAACUGUGUUGCUGUGUACUGCUCGGAGCCUCAGGUGGUCCCGAAAUAAGUGAAAGCACUUGCAAGGAAAAGAGUUACAGCAGCGAUUGAAAAUAUGACUACGGGCUUGAUGUCCUAAUGAAGUUCUUCGCACCGUUGGAUAUGUUUCACUCACAGGGCAGGGCUGGGUGGCAUCGGUAGCUCUCCUCUGGAAUGUUCCCGAGCAGAAAAACAGCAAAGUGAAGUUGAAGAGCAAAGCAGACACUCUUACCGCAAAAGUUACAGACUCUUCUUUCUCUCCUUGGGGCUCUUUUUAAAAACCUUCCUUGGCUAGGUGCUUGCCCUGUGCAGAAUGCCAUGCUGAGGCCGGAGGCUACAAGAAGGAAUGAAACAGAACACCCACCCUGGCGGCCUUUGUGGAUGAAGUGCUCUGAUGUGCCUGCUUCUGUCCUGGUGCUACUUCUCCAAGGAAGAAGAGGAAGGGGGAAGAAGGGACUCUGGGAGUGGGGUCAAGAGAAGAGAGCUCAGGUGGGCAGAUGCUACGUUUAUCCUUUCCCGAUCUCCAAACACCCCUUGCGUUCUCCUCUGAUUCCUCAGCAGGAACAGUCGUGUAGUAAAGAACCAAGAAGGUGAACACAUGCAAAUGUGGUGUUCAUUUUCAAAACGUGAAAAAGGAGAUAAUUCCAGGUCUUCUCCAUGGAGAGGAAUCAUUGCUUUGAAGACAGUCCAUGUUCUUCUGUCAACUUGCUUGGUUGGAGAAUAUUGUUGCCAUAGUUAGGGAUUUGUGAUACUGCAAAGGUGUUUGCUUUCAACUUCCUCUUAUCAUUUUUUUAUCCCUUAAAAAUAAAGCAUAAGCGUGUGAAAGAAA